rnacentral:lncRNA from 1 species
CUGGAUCUAAUGGCAACCUUCAAAAAUCACACAGUUUUGACGCCAUCUCAGCAUCAGGUUCAGAUGCCAGCUCAGGAAGAAAUACCCCAAGAGAGAGUCAGAUGAUGCGCAAGAACAGCCAUGACACUACUAGUUUUCUCUCACCUCUCAGCAUCAGUGGUACUCCUAAAAAGCUUCAUGACACUACUAGUUUUCUCUCACCUCUCAGCAUCAGUGGUACUCCUAAAAAGCUGCUGAAAAGCUCAAGUGACUGGUCUGGUAGUUCAGCUCCUGAUGGAAGCACAGAUGGAUCAACAAAUAACUCAGGGGAUUCUGGACUAAAAGAAGGGUUUCAAGAUUCAGAAAC